rnacentral:tRNA from 1 species
AGGAUGUACACCGCAGCGGGGAAAGUUAUUACGAAUCAACGAUCUGCACCACCUUGACAUGGUGGGGGUCGUUGGUUCGAGUCCAAUCGCGCCUACCA